rnacentral:tRNA from 3 species
GGAGGAGUGGCCGAGUGGUUGAUGGCACUAGUCUUGAAAACUAGCAUACCCGAAAGGGUAUCAGGGGUUCAAAUCCUCUCUCCUCCG